rnacentral:rRNA from 1 species
UACGUAGGUGGCAAGCGUUGUCCGGAUUUAUUGGGCGUAAAGCGCUCGCAGGCGGUCUUUUAAGUCUGAUGUGAAAUCUUGCGGCUUAACCGUAAGCGGUCAUUGGAAACUGGAGGACUUGAGUGCAGAAGAGGAGAGUGGAAUUCCAUGUGUAGCGGUGAAAUGCGUAGAGAUAUGGAGGAACACCAGUGGCGAAGGCGGGUCUCUGGACAGUUCCUGACACUGAGACACGAAGGCCAGGGGAGCAAACGGG